rfam:Echinostoma caproni strain Egypt genome assembly, scaffold: ECPE_scaffold0007484
GGCCUCGUAGCUCAGCUGGUAGAGUCUGCGCAUAUAAAGCGUAGGCGAUGUCCAUGCGUGAGUUCGAAUCCCACCGAGGCUC